rnacentral:rRNA from 1 species
UGGGGAAUAUUGCACAAUGGGCGAAAGCCUGAUGCAGCGACGCCGCGUGCGGGAUGAAGGCCUUCGGGUUGUAAACCGCUUUUGAUUGGGAGCAAGCGAGAGUGAGUGUACCUUUCGAAUAAGCACCGGCUAACUACGUGCCAGCAGCCGCGGUAAUACGUAGGGUGCAAGCGUUAUCCGGAAUUAUUGGGCGUAAAGAGCUCGUAGGCGGUUUGUCGCGUCUGGUGUGAAAGUCCAUCGCUUAACGGUGGAUCUGCGCCGGAUACGGGCAGGCUAGAGUGCGACAGGGGAGACUGGAAUUCCCGGUGUAACGGUGGAAUGUGUAGAUAUCGGGAAGAACACCAAUGGCGAAGGCAGGUCUCUGGGUCGUCACUGACGCUGAGGAGCGAAAAGCGU